GAUGAACGCUGGCGGCGUGCCUAAUACAUGCAAGUCGAGCGAACGGACGAGAAGCUUGCUUCUCUGAUGUUAGCGGCGGACGGGUGAGUAACACGUGGAUAACCUACCUAUAAGACUGGGAUAACUUCGGGAAACCGGAGCUAAUACCGGAUAAUAUUUUGAACCGCAUGGUUCAAAAGUGAAAGACGGUCUUGCUGUCACUUAUAGAUGGAUCCGCGCUGCAUUAGCUAGUUGGUAAGGUAACGGCUUACCAAGGCAACGAUGCAUAGCCGACCUGAGAGGGUGAUCGGCCACACUGGAACUGAGACACGGUCCAGACUCCUACGGGAGGCAGCAGUAGGGAAUCUUCCGCAAUGGGCGAAAGCCUGACGGAGCAACGCCGCGUGAGUGAUGAAGGUCUUCGGAUCGUAAAACUCUGUUAUUAGGGAAGAACAUAUAUGUAAGUAACUGUGCACAUCUUGACGGUACCUAAUCAGAAAGCCACGGCUAACUACGUGCCAGCAGCCGCGGUAAUACGUAGGUGGCAAGCGUUAUCCGGAAUUAUUGGGCGUAAAGCGCGCGUAGGCGGUUUUUUAAGUCUGAUGUGAAAGCCCACGGCUCAACCGUGGAGGGUCAUUGGAAACUGGAAAACUUGAGUGCAGAAGAGGAAAGUGGAAGUCCAUGUGUAGCGGUGAAAUGCGCAGAGAUAUGGAGGAACACCAGUGGCGAAGGCGACUUUCUGGUCUGUAACUGACGCUGAUGUGCGAAAGCGUGGGGACCAAACAGGAUUAGAUACCCUGGUAGUCCACGCCGUAAACGAUGAGUGCUAAGUGUUAGGGGGUUUCCGCCCCUUAGUGCUGCAGCUAACGCAUUAAGCACUCCGCCUGGGGAGUACGACCGCAAGGUUGAAACUCAAAGGAAUUGACGGGGACCCGCACAAGCGGUGGAGCAUGUGGUUUAAUUCGAAGCAACGCGAAGAACCUUACCAAAUCUUGACAUCCUUUGACAACUCUAGAGAUAGAGCUUUCCCCUUCGGGGGACAAAGUGACAGGUGGUGCAUGGUUGUCGUCAGCUCGUGUCGUGAGAUGUUGGGUUAAGUCCCGCAACGAGCGCAACCCUUAAGCUUAGUUGCCAUCAUUAAGUUGGGCACUCUAAGUUGACUGCCGGUGACAAACCGGAGGAAGGUGGGGAUGACGUCAAAUCAUCAUGCCCCUUAUGAUUUGGGCUACACACGUGCUACAAUGGACAAUACAAAGGGCAGCGAAACCGCGAGGUCAAGCAAAUCCCAUAAAGUUGUUCUCAGUUCGGAUUGUAGUCUGCAACUCGACUACAUGAAGCUGGAAUCGCUAGUAAUCGUAGAUCAGCAUGCUACGGUGAAUACGUUCCCGGGUCU
rnacentral:rRNA from 1 species